rnacentral:lncRNA from 11 species
GCAAUUUCCUGCCUCUUGGCAGGGGGUUGGACUGGAUGGCCCAUGAGGUCUCUUCCAACUCUACUAUUCUAUGAUGGUAUGUUUCUAUGAUUCCUUCCCUCUUUCCUUCUUUCCUCCCUUGCUUGGCUUCUGUCCCAGCUUCUUUCCCACCCACUCUUCCUCGUGUCCCCUCGCAGGCCUUGUUCCCUGAGAAAUGGAGGCCAAGGAGACUUCUCUGGGAAGAAGAACAUGGACCUCUCUGAAGUGUCCCAGACCCUCCAGGAGGUGGCCAAGAAGCUGGACGACUUAGCCAAGGGCCUCUCUUUGGGCCUCACCUGCCAGGACCAGGACCUCUACCUGCGCCGGAAGGUCACCCUGAAGCUUCAGGAGAUUCUCUUCCAGGUGCGUCAUGGUGCUGGGAGCAACUUGGACCUGUCCUGCCUCCUCUGCUGCAUCAAUGGCGUGGUCGAGGCUGCCAUGAGAUGGCAGUCCUGGUCUGAGGCAGGUCCUGGCUUGUUCAGGAGACUCUCCUCUGCAGUUCCAUUUGGUGGGAAGCCUUAGCAUGGAACGGUUGUGUUGUUAAAGUGUGAAGUACGGAACCCUGCACAGACGGGGAAGCCUUAGCAUGGAACGGUUGUGUUGUUAAAGUGUGAAGUACGGAACCCUGCACAGACGGGGAAGCCUUAGCAUGGAACGGUUGUGUUGUUAAAGUGCGAAGUAUGGGACCCUGCGCAGACGGUCAGUCAAUGUGACUUAAUCAACGUGCAGUCAUUGAAUUCUUAGCAGCAGAAGGUGUCACCCCAAAGGAGAUUCAUCAGAGAAUCUAUCUGUUCCCAAUAAUAAAAGAAGAUCUGCGGGGACAUAAUUAUGCUUCUGGUGAAGACUUUGAGAGAACUGUGUGACGCAGGUUGCGGAAACAGAGUGUCGACUUCUUCCGUGACGGCUUCAGAAAACUUGUUCAUCGUUGGCAGAAAUGUAUCCAAUUGUCUGGUGAUGAUGUGGAAAAGUGAAUAGUGGUCGUUAAAGAGCUCAUUCUAAGGAUUAUCUCUGCAUUUGAUUUAUUAAAAGAUUCCCAUCCAAACCCAAGUAACGAAGAUGGAGGUAUUACUUUUCAUUCAAGCCUUGUCUAUACAGUGUUCCCUCACUACUUUGCGGUUCACUUUUCGCUCCCUCGCUAUUUUGCGGGUUUUCAAUUAACGUUAAUGCGCACGAUUAUCAUGGUAUUUUUGCUGUUUCACAGGGUUUUGGAAGGGUGGAAAGGGAGAAAUAAAGGAGGGGAGAGUAGGGAAUGGUUGGAAAUAUAAAGGCGUUAUUUAGCUUCCGUUCUUCUUCUCGGCUGGUGUACUGUAUAUUGUAACUGCUAAAAUAAAGUACAGACUACAUUGUAGUAAGUGGUCCAUGGUUUGCUCUCCUCCAGACAUAGAAUAAAUACAGUGUCC